rnacentral:rRNA from 1 species
UACGAAGGGGGCUAGCGUUGCUCGGAAUCACUGGGCGUAAAGGGUGCGUAGGCGGGUCUUUAAGUCAGGGGUGAAAUCCUGGAGCUCAACUCCAGAACUGCCUUUGAUACUGAAGAUCUUGAGUUCGGGAGAGGUGAGUGGAACUGCGAGUGUAGAGGUGAAAUUCGUAGAUAUUCGCAAGAACACCAGAGGCGAAGGCGGCUCACUGGCCCGAUACUGACGCUGAGGCACGAAAGCGUGGGGAGCAAACAGG